rnacentral:misc_RNA from 1 species
CCAGCUCUGGAGGCAGGGAGACAUAGACAACGCGAUGGUCGAGUUCGGAAAAAAGGCGGAAAAGGAAAAGGACGGAAAAGAUAUGGUGAUCUGGCG